rnacentral:rRNA from 1 species
CGAUUACGGCUCAGUAACACGUAGCUAACCUACCCUUAGGACGUGGAUACCCCCGAGAAAUUGGGGUUAAUCCGCGAUAGAUGUAAUGUCCUGGAAUGGUAUUACGUCUAAAGGUAUUUCAUACAUGUUUGAAAUAUGCCUAAGGAUGGGGCUGCGGCCGAUCAGGCUGUUGGUGAGGUAAUGGCUCACCAAACCUUUGACCGGUACGGGCCAUGAGAGUGGUAGCCCGGAGAUGGACACUGAGACAAGGGUCCAGGCCCUAAGGGGCGCAGCAACCGCGAAACCUCCACAAUGCACUCACGUGCGAUGGGGCUAUCUCGAGUGCCACCUGAUGAAGGUGGCUUUUCCUUGGUCUUCAAAGCCUUGGGAAUAAGAGGGGGGCAAGACUGGUGUCAGCCGCCGCGGUAACACCAGCCCCUCGAGUGGUGGGGAUGAUUAUUUGGCCUAAAGCGUCCGUAGCCGGCCGAGCAAGUCUUCCGUUAAAUCCAGCGUCUCAAGCGUUGGACCGCGGGAGAUACUACACGGCUAGAGAGUGGGAGAGGUUAGCGGUAUUCUGGGGGUAGGGGCGAAAUCCUUUGAUCCCCGGAGGACCACCAGUGGCGAAGGCUG